rnacentral:rRNA from 1 species
UACGUAGGGUGCGAGCGUUAAUCGGAAUUACUGGGCGUAAAGCGUGCGCAGGCGGCGCCGCAAGUCGGGCGUGAAAUCCCCGAGCUUAACUUGGGGAAUGGCGCUUGAAACUACGGUGCUGGAGUGUGGCAGAGGGAGGUGGAAUUCCACGCGUAGGCGGUGAAAUGCGUAGAGAUGUGGAGGAACACCGAUGGCGAAGGCAGCCUUCUGGGCCAACACUGACGCUCAUGCACGAAAGCGUGGGGAGCAAACAGG